GAUGAACGCUGGCGGCGUGCCUAAUACAUGCAAGUCGAGCGAACGGACGAGAAGCUUGCUUCUCUGAUGUUAGCGGCGGACGGGUGAGUAACACGUGGAUAACCUACCUAUAAGACUGGGAUAACUUCGGGAAACCGGAGCUAAUACCGGAUAAUAUUUUGAACCGCAUGGUUCAAAAGUGAAAGACGGUCUUGCUGUCACUUAUAGAUGGAUCCGCGCUGCAUUAGCUAGUUGGUAAGGUAACGGCUUACCAAGGCAACGAUGCAUAGCCGACCUGAGAGGGUGAUCGGCCACACUGAAACUGAGACACGGUCCAGACUCCUACGGGAGGCAGCAGUAGGAAAUCUUCCGCAAUGGGCGAAAGCCUGACGGAGCAACGCCGCGUGAGUGAUGAAGGUCUUCGGAUCGUAAAACUCUGUUAUUAGGGAAGAACAUAUGUGUAAGUAACUGUGCACAUCUUGACGGUACCUAAUCAGAAAGCCACGGCUAACUACGU
rnacentral:rRNA from 1 species